rnacentral:rRNA from 1 species
UACGUAGGGCGCAAGCGUUGUCCGGAAUUAUUGGGCGUAAAGAGCUCGUAGGCGGCUUGUCACGUCGGAUGUGAAAGCCCGGGGCUUAACCCCGGGUCUGCAUUCGAUACGGGCUAGCUAGAGUGUGGUAGGGGAGAUCGGAAUUCCUGGUGUAGCGGUGGAAUGCGCAGAUAUCAGGAGGAACACCAAUAGCGAAGGCAGCUCGCUAGGACGGUACUGACGCUCAGGCGCGAAAGCGUGGGGAGCAAACAGG